rnacentral:rRNA from 1 species
UACGUAGGGAGCGAGCGUUGUCCGGAUUCACUGGGCGUAAAGAGCAUGUAGGUGGUUUGGUAAGUGAGCGAUUAAAGACCGAUGCUUAACAUCGGGAAUGUUGCUUAUACUGCUAGACUCGAGGAAGACAGGGGCAAGCGGAACUUUAGGUGUAGGGGUGAAAUGCGUAGAUAUCACUUGGAACGCCAAAGGUGAAGACAGUCUGCUGGGGAUCUGCUGACGCUGAGACACGAAAGCCAGGGGAGCGAACGGG